rnacentral:rRNA from 1 species
UACGUAGGGGGCGAGCGUUGUCCGGAAUCAUUGGGCGUAAAGAGCUCGUAGGCGGUUCAGCAAGUCGGCUGUGAAAUUCCGAGGCUCAACCUCGGAACUGCAGUCGAUACUGCUGUGACUCGAGUCCGGUAGAGGAGAAUGGAAUUCCCGGUGUAGCGGUGAAAUGCGCAGAUAUCGGGAGGAACACCGAUGGCGAAGGCAGGUCUCUGGGCCACUACUGACGCUGAGAAGCGAAAGCGUGGGGAGCGAACAGG